GGGAUGACUGGGAGGAAGAGGAGGAUGACCUGGACCGGUCUCGCGCUCUCCGGUGCUUCCUACGAAAACAGAAGAGCCAGGGAUUUAAAUCACCAAGCUCCAGGGUACAGCCCUUGGCUGGGGACUCACUGGAAGAAUACUACUGGCCUAAUUUAGGCCUGUUCUAGAGACUGAACAAACAAUAUGCUUCAACACUUCACAAUGACAUAGCAGAGCCAAACUGAACACCCAUCUCCCAGGAGGCCUUCUCUGGACAAGGAUCAUACCGCUACUUUGAUGCAGAAGUUGUUUUCAAGCCAGGGACCUUACUUGACAGUUACAGGAUAUCAAAGAACAAACUGCUAUCAUCCCUAACCCUAAAUGAAACUCUGGUAUAGAGCCCAGAGGAGCAGACAAGAGACCCCACUCAGAAGUCUCAAUGAGGGAACAGGGGCUUACGUACUUCUGCUUCUUUGAUCCUUUGUGAGUUUUCUCUGUUUUCUCAGCUGAUCUUUCCCUCGAGUGGCUUGAGUCUCGGGAAUCCACUGAUUCUCUUGAUUUACCUCGUUUAAGAUCUCUCUCCUUAUGUUUUUUACGACGUUCAAUAUCAAGGCGGAGAUCAACAGGAUCAUCUUUGUAUUUUCCCUCAGUCUGCCAAGAGAGAAAUCAAAAUGAAGGUUUUUGGGAUUCAGGGCUGCCAACUCAACCACCCCACAAACUGUGGUUUCCACUCCAAUGGAGUGGUACAGAGGAAGCACUGGGAGUGUGAGGCACUGCACCCAAGCUUGGGAGGGAUACAGGACGUCCCACAGAAGUCCCUUCCUGAGGGUCCCUCACAGAACCCAAACCAGUUCUCUGAAAUAAUGAUGUCUACCUUCCGAAAAUGCUGAACAUCGAUUUCGCCUUGUUUGCUUCCUCUAUGGCCCAGUAAUGACUCUGGCUAGCCUACAAGCUGAGAAGGCCAAAUUCCGCUUUAGAGGGUGGCUGGUUAGGCUGGCUCAGGCCUAUAGUCACCACCAAGAGCGGAAAUGCCUGUGUCGUGUUGUCCUUUCCUACCUAUGCUGUGGCAGCCACCAUGGGUUUAUGCUUUCCUUGGAACUGGCUCUGAGCAUGCAGCCCAGCAACAGAGCAUGGGACACUUCAGCAACCUUCCAAAAUGCUUAGUUACAAUGAGAAACAGCUUUAGAGAGGGAACAUCAAAAACCAUAAUGGAAAAUUCAUGAAGUGACAAUACCAGGUCGAAAUUUGUUUUAAAAAAGAAAAAAGCAGCAGCAGAAAAAGAAAGCAAAACCCCGUUUUUGCUGACUUCCUAGGAAGUCGAAGCCUCAGGGCACAUGCACCGCAGAUGGACAGCAGUAGCACUGUGCGUCCCAAACCAGGGCAAAGGCUUUCAACAGCUCUUGGGACGCUCAGAGCAGAGGGCAAGGUGGAUUCAGGAUCAUGAAGCACCAGGAUUUGCCUCAUGGGAAGUAAAACUUCCC